AGAGUUUGAUCAUGGCUCAGAACGUACGCUGGCGGCACGCCUAACACAUGCAAGUCGAACGAAGUAGCAAUACUUAGUGGCAGACGGGUGAGUAACAUGUAGGUAUCUACCCUUUGGCCUGGAAUAACACGAGGAAACUUGUGCUAAUACCGGAUAAGUCUUUACGGAGAAAGCUUUAUGCACCAUUGGAUGAGCCUGCACUUGAUUAGUUUGUUGGUGGGGUAAUGGCCUACCAAGACUGUGAUCAAUAGCUGAUUUGAGAGGAUGAUCAGCCACAUUGGGACUGAGACACGGCCCAAACUCCUACGGGAGGCAGCAGUGGGGAAUCUUGCACAAUGGAGGAAACUCUGAUGCAGCGAUGCCGCGUGAGUGAAGAAGGCCUUUGGGUUGUAAAGCUCUUUCGUCGGGGAAGAAAAUGACUGUACCCGAAUAAGAAGGUCCGGCUAACUUCGUGCCAGCAGCCGCGGUAAUACGAAGGGACCUAGCGUAGUUCGGAAUUACUGGGCUUAAAGAGUUCGUAGGUGGUUGAAAAAGUUAGUGGUGAAAUCCCAGAGCUUAACUCUGGAACUGCCAUUAAAACUUUUCAGCUAGAGUAUGAUAGAGGAAAGCAGAAUUUCUAGUGUAGAGGUGAAAUUCGUAGAUAUUAGAAAGAAUACCAAUUGCGAAGGCAGCUUUCUGGAUCAUUACUGACACUGAGGAACGAAAGCAUGGGUAGCGAAGAGGAUUAGAUACCCUCGUAGUCCAUGCCGUAAACGAUGUGUGUUAGACGUUGGAAAUUUAUUUUCAGUGUCGCAGCGAAAGCGAUAAACACACCGCCUGGGGAGUACGACCGCAAGGUUAAAACUCAAAUGAAUUGACGGGGACCCGCACAAGUAGUGGAGCAUGUGGUUUAAUUCGAAGAUACGCGCAGAACCUUACCAACACUUGACAUGUUCGUCGCGACUCUAAGAGAUUAGAGUUUUCGGUUCGGCCGGACGAAACACAGGUGCUGCAUGGCUGUCGUCAGCUCGUGUCGUGAGAUGUUGGGUUAAGUCCCGCAACGAGCGCAACCCUCACUUUUAGUUGCCAUCAUUUAGUUGGGCACUCUGAAAGAACUGCCAGUGAUAAGCUGGAGGAAGGUGGGGAUGACGUCAAGUCCUCAUGGCCCUUACGUGUUGGGCUACACACGUGCUACAAUGGUAUCUACAACAGGAAGCAAGACUGCGAGGUCAAGCAAAUCCUUAAAAGAUACCUCAGUUCGGAUUGCACUCUGCAACUCGAGUGCAUGAAGCUGGAAUUACUAGUAAUCGUGGAUCAGCGUGCCACGGUGAAUGCGUUCCCGGGUCUUGUACACACCGCCCGUCACACCAUGGGAGUUGGUUCUACCUUAAGGCAAGGUUUAAAACCCUUGACCACGGUAUAGUCAGCGACUGGGGUGAAGUCGUAACAAGGUAGCCGUAGGGGAACCUGCGGCUG
rnacentral:rRNA from 1 species